UGGGGGAUAUUGCGCAAUGGGGGCAACCCUGACGCAGCAACGCCGCGUGAAGGAUGAAGGUUUUUGGAUUGUAAACUUCUUUUAUUAAGGACGAAACUUGACGGUACUUAAUGAAUAAGCUCCGGCUAACUACGUGCCAGCAGCCGCGGUAAUACGUAGGGAGCAAGCGUUGUCCGGAUUUACUGGGUGUAAAGGGUGCGUAGGCGGCUUUGCAAGUCAGAUGUGAAAUCUAUGGGCUCAACCCAUAAACUGCAUUUGAAACUGUAGAGCUUGAGUGAAGUAGAGGCAGGCGGAAUUCCCCGUGUAGCGGUGAAAUGCGUAGAGAUGGGGAGGAACACCAGUGGCGAAGGCGGCCUGCUGGGCUUUAACUGACGCUGAGGCACGAAAGCGUGGGUAGCAAACAGGAUUAGAUACCCUGGUAGUCCACGCUGUAAACGAUGAUUACUAGGUGUGGGGGGUCUGACCCCUUCCGUGCCGGAGUUAACACAAUAAGUAAUCCACCUGGGGAGUACGGCCGCAAGGUUGAAACUCAAAGGAAUUGACGGGGGCCCGCACAAGCAGUGGAGUAUGUGGUUUAAUUCGAAGCAACGCGAAGAACCUUACCAGGUCUUGACAUCCAACUAACGAAGUAGAGAUACAUUAGGUGCCCUUCGGGGAAAGUUGAGACAGGUGGUGCAUGGUUGUCGUCAGCUCGUGUCGUGAGAUGUUGGGUUAAGUCCCGCAACGAGCGCAACCCUUGCUAUUAGUUGCUACGCAAGAGCACUCUAAUAGGACUGCCGUUGACAAAACGGAGGAGGGUGGGGACGACGUCAAAUCAUCAUGCCCCUUAUGACCUGGGCUACACACGUACUACAAUGGAUGUUAACAGAGGGAAGCAAGACAGCGAUGUGGAGCAAACCCCUAAAAACAUUCUCAGUUCAGAUUGCAGGCUGCAACCCGCCUGCAUGAAGAUGGAAUUGCUAGUAAUCGCGGAUCAGCAUGCCGCGGUGAAUACGUUCCC
rnacentral:rRNA from 1 species